rnacentral:lncRNA from 1 species
CUCUCUUGGCUGAAUCCUUCAGUUCAAUUUCAAAGUUACAUUACGUUCGGAGCCGUCUUUGCUGCCAUUACCCGCUGGCCACUGCCACUUUUCGUUGGUUGUCGCCUCUCUCGCCGGCAACUACAUAAUCAUGUUUCACUUUGAUUUUAAUCAUUGUAUUGUACUUCUAAAAUUAGUUUGGUCGUGUGCAAUUUCAUCAAUUAAAAAGAAUCUCAGUACUUAAUUUGA